rnacentral:rRNA from 1 species
CAGUCGCCGCGGUAAUACGAAGGGUGCAAGCGUUACUCGGAAUUACUGGGCGUAAAGCGUGCGUAGGUGGUGGUUUAAGUCCGUUGUGAAAUCCCCGGGCUCAACCUGGGAAUGGCAAUGGAUACUGGCAAGCUAGAGUGUGUCAGAGGAUGGUGGAAUUCCCGGUGUAGCGGUGAAAUGCGUAGAGAUCGGGAGGAACAUCAGUGGCGAAGGCGGCCAUCUGGGACAACACUGACGCUGAGGCACGAAAGCGUGGGGAGCAAACAGGAUUAGAGACCCCCGUAGUCCCUGUCUCUUAUAC